rnacentral:rRNA from 1 species
AACGAACGCUGGCGGCAUGCUUAACACAUGCAAGUCGAACGUGAAAGUGGGCUUCGGCCCGCGAGUAAAGUGGCGCACGGGUGAGUAACACGUGGAUAAUCUACCCGAUGAUCUGGAAUAACACUUCGAAAGGGGUGCUAAUACCGGAUAAGCUCACGACGUCUUCGGACGAUGUGGGAAAAGGGGGCUUCGGCUCCUGUCAUCGGAUGAGUCCGCGGCCCAUUAGCUAGUUGGUAGGGUAAUGGCCUACCAAGGCGACGAUGGGUAGCUGGUCUGGGAGGAUGAUCAGCCACACUGAAACUGAGACACGGUCCAGAGUCCUACGGGAGGCAGCAGUGGGGAAUUUUGCGCAAGGGGCGAAAGCCUGACGCAGCAAUGCCGCGUGAGUGAUGAAGGCCUUCGGGUCGUAAAGCUCUGUCAGAGGGGAAGAAACUCCUGCCGGUUAAUACCCGGCGGGCCUGACGGUACCCUCAAAGGAAGCACCGGCUAACUUCGUGCCAGCAGCCGCCGUAA